CCUCGCGCAGGGGGCCGAGCCACACAGGUAACUGAAGGGAGGAAAAGAAAAAAAACCUCCGGGGCUUGUCAUGGAGCUGGCGUGAAAGAAACACGGAUUUCCUCCCUUCUUUACCAGUUAAACCAGUAUCUCUGGAUACAUCACACUCAAGUACUGCGACAGUUUUUACCCUUGUGGUCCCUGAUGGCUUCGCACAGUGAUACUCUGGUGGUGUUCUUUGGGGCAACAGCUGGUGCAAAUGGGGGUAAACUGGGUUCGGAUGAGAGGGAAAUAAUUCUCUUGGUGUGGCAAAUUGUGGAUCUACAUGAGAAAAAGGUCGGGAAGCUUCACAGAUGUCUUGUAAAGCCAGACACUUUGGAGCUGACAGACCAGUGCAAAGAGGAAACAGGACUGACUCUGGACGAUUUCGUCAAGGCUGAGCCCCUGGACAAAGCUCUGCAACAGGUGAGCCUUACACAUCACUCAACAUCAAGAUGAUUUAAAUCAACUUUUAUUAGUCAUAUGCAAGUUCACACAGGUGGACAAGAAGAAACCGGUUGGCUCAGCAGUGCAAUAGUUACAUUAAAAAUAAAAGCAAGGUAGAAAGAGCUUACCAUAAAAAAGUCAAAUAAAAGACUAUAUACAUUCAAUUUCCACCUAAAGUUGUUCUUUAAAGACCAGCUGCUCAGCUUCAUAAGAAACAUCUCACAGAGCUACUGUAUUCACCACAGCAACAACUCUCUCUUUUUAACGCUCCUUGCCGCCGGUCAUAUCACGAGAAGCUAAUUAAACUGAGACAACUUUCCUACUUGUUUUUGCCCAGAGCCAGAUGUGACAUGACAAGCCUAACUCACCUGAUGACCUUUAUUUAAAAAAGAAAAAAAGAAAAAAAAGGUCUUCCACCUGGUUGAGUGUCAUUGCUUUUGGCCCCUGACAGUUAAAACUCUGCUCUUUGCAGAGGCUUAGCACCCAGGAUGGGCAGAGCCCGGGGCAUGUAGAGAUAAGGAGGAGUCGCAGGUCUAGUCUUGUCUCGGCCUGAUGUGUGCUGCAGACAUCUGGAAGGCGGAAUGUUUACCUGGGACUGUGCCCUGCUCUAAGGGUGCAGGACAGGCAGGUAGAGGCCUUUUCAGCUCUUACAGGCUUAAAGGAAUAGUUCAACCAAAGUGUAAAAAAAAAAAAAAAAUACAAUCUAUCUACUCACCACUAUGCCAAUGGAGGGGUGGGUAAAGUGUUUGAGUCCAUAAACACUGUUGCGUUGCAGCCAAACAUUGCCUAAAGUCCUCUGAUAUCCUCGGACACUUGGAGCAGUAUGGAGGUGAUUGUAUUAGAUUUGGCUGCAACACUGUUUACCCCUGAAACAAAAAGUGUUCUGUGGACCUAAACACUUCACCUACCCCUCCAUCGGAUAGAGUGAAUUUUUUAAUUUUUUGGUGAACUAUCCCUUUAAUCCUCUGCAGCCAGUUAUGCCACUUAUUUAUGACCAAAAUUGUAAUCUGCUCUCUGGUUCCUCCCCAUCAGGAGAUGUGUUAUGACAAAAGUGCUUAUGUUGCCAAACAUGUUUUUCAACCACCCUUGCAAGAAUGUUUGUUUGCACUGGAUGGACCUAUCCCCCCCUUCCAGUAUUCCAUAGUGUAAAAACCUCUCACUUGUUGGACCAGUGUCAGGGUUGGCUGUUAGUGUUGCUGUGGUUUGAAUACCAAGCAUGCACAAACAGGUUGGUUUGGGUAAUCAAUGAUCAAUGCUGUAAAUUCUUUCUGAAGCUGUACAUCUUUGAUGCUGUUUGGUUUAUGACACUUAACACUAAAGUAGUUAACAUUUCAUGGUUUGGUCUACAUGCUCACGCCAUGUGUGUCUCAAUUGGGCUAGUAAGGCUCGAGCUCCACUGUAGGCUAGUUUGUGUGCUGAACCUUCAAAUAUUAACCUCAGCAAUCAGCUCGUUCUAUUCAUACCUUUGUCCGGCUGGUUACUUUCUCUCCCUAUUGG